GUUUAUAGUUCAGUGGUAGAGCACUUGCCUAGUAUGUGUGAGGCCCUGGAUUCUAUCCCCAGCACUAAAUG
rnacentral:tRNA from 1 species